GGGUUAGUAGGUUGGUCAUGCCUCUGGUAUGUACUGGUCUCACUGAUUCCUCCUUCCUGAUGAACCUUAAUGCCAUUAAUUUGGUGUUUUGGGGAAUUUGGACUGUUACUUUGAAAAAAUUAGAGUGUUUAAAGCAGGCUUUAGCUUGAAUACAUUAGCAUGGAAUAUGAAAUAGGACGUUUGAUUCUAUUUUGUUGGUUUUUAGGAUCGAUGUA
rnacentral:rRNA from 1 species